rnacentral:rRNA from 1 species
GACGAACGCUGGCGGCGUGCUUAACACAUGCAAGUCGAACGGUAAGGCCCUUCGGGGUACACGAGUGGCGAACGGGUGAGUAACACGUGGGUGAUCUGCCCUGCACUUCGGGAUAAGCCUGGGAAACUGGGUCUAAUACCGGAUAGGACCACUGCCUGCAUGGGUGGUGGUGGAAAGCUUUUGCGGUGUGGGAUGGGCCCGCGGCCUAUCAGCUUGUUGGUGGGGUGAUGGCCUACCAAGGCGACGACGGGUAGCCGGCCUGAGAGGGGGACCGGGCACACGGGGACUGAGAUACGGCCCAGGCUCCUGCGGGAGGCAGCAGUGGGGAAUAUUGCACAAUGGGCGCAAGCCUGAUGCAGCGACGCCGCGUGAGGGAUGACGGCCUUCGGGUUGUAAACCUCUUUCAGCACCGACGAAGCGCAAGUGACGGUAGGUGCAGAAGAAGGACCGGCCAACUACGUGCCAGCAGCCGCAGUAA